GGCCGAUGGAUUGUUUCUGGUGGGGCUGAUAACUCAGUGAAGGUCUGGGAUUUGACGGCUGGAAAACUCAUGCAUGAUUUUUGUCUUCAUGAAGGUCCAGUCAACUGCUUAGAUGUUCACCCCUAUGAGUUUUUAUUGGCUACAGGUUCAGUUGAUAAGACUGUUAAAUUUUGGGACCUUGGAACUUUUGAGUUGAUCAGUUCUUCUGGACCCGAGGUACCAUAUCUAUUUAUAA